GUCAGACCCAAAGAAGUUCAGACUGAAUACUACUGAAUAUUGAAUCAGAGGAAAGCAGACAGGAGGGCUAGGCCUAAAUUACAUCAACGACUGAGAUGGAAGCGGGAUGGGAUUACGAAGAUCUGACGGCUGUGAUCAGGAUCGGCUACUGUUUACGUCAUCUACGUUGUCGUUUUCAUCUAAUAAUCCUAUUUAAAACACUGUUUAGCUCUAAUUGAGCAUUAGCUUGUAAUCAGAGAAAAACACUUUAUAUAUAGCCGAUGCGGCCGAGAGGGGAAGCAUUUGAACCCUAAAAGUAUUCUCUAUCUUGUAGUUUAGGUUAAAUUAGUUUGUCUUGCGGCGACCACCC
rnacentral:lncRNA from 1 species